rnacentral:rRNA from 1 species
UACGUAGGCAGCAAGCGUUGUUCGGAGUUACUGGGCGUAAAGGGUGCGUAGGCGGUUGUUUAAGUUUGGUGUGAAAUCUCCCGGCUCAACUGGGAGGGUGCGCCGAAUACUGAAUGACUAGAGUGCGGGAGAGGAGAGUGGAAUUCCUGGUGUAGCGGUGAAAUGCGUAGAUAUCAGGAGGAACACCGGUGGUGUAGACGGCUCUCUGGACCGUAACUGACGCUGAGGCACGAAAGCGUGGGUAGCAAACCGG